rnacentral:rRNA from 1 species
UAGGGAAUCUUCGGCAAUGGAUGGAAGUCUGACCGAGCAACGCCGCGUGAGUGAAGAAGGUUUUCGGAUCGUAAAGCUCUGUUGUUAGAGAAGAACGUUGGUAGGAGUGGAAAAUCUACCAAGUGACGGUAACUAACCAGAAAGGGACGGCUAACUACGUGCCAGCAGCCGCGGUAAUACGUAGGUCCCGAGCGUUGUCCGGAUUUAUUGGGCGUAAAGCGAGCGCAGGCGGUUCUUUAAGUCUGAAGUUAAAGGCAGUGGCUUAACCAUUGUACGCUUUGGAAACUGGAGGACUUGAGUGCAGAAGGGGAGGAUGGAAUUCCAUGUGUAGCGGUGAAAUGCGUAGAUAUAUGGAGGAACACCGGUGGCGAAAGCGGCUCUCUUGUCUGUAACUGACGCUGAGGCUCGAAAGCGUGGGGAGCAAACAGG